GAACGCGAAGAACCUUACCCACCUUUGACAUGUAUGGAAUCCUUUAGAGAUGAAGGAGUGCUCGAAAGAGAGCCAUAACACAGGUGCUGCAUGGCUGUCGUCAGCUCGUGUCGUGAGAUGUUGGGUUAAGUCCCGCAACGAGCGCAACCCUUGCCAUUAGUUGCUACGAAAGGGCACUCUAAUGGGACUGCCGGUGACAAACCGGAGGAAGGUGGGGAUGACGUCAAGUCCUCAUGGCCCUUAUAGGCGGGGCUACACACGUCAUACAAUGGCUGGUACAGAGGGUUGCCAACCCGCGAGGGGGAGCUAAUCCCAUAAAGCCAGUCGUAGUCCGGAUCGCAGUCUGCAACUCGACUGCGUGAAGUCGGAAUCGCUAGUAAUCGCGGAUCAGAAUGUCGCGGUGAAUACGUUCCCGGGUCUUGUACACACC
rnacentral:rRNA from 1 species